UGCCACUAAGCCUAGUGGACAGGAACAUCAACCCGCUGGAACCCGCAAGAAACCUAGCCUGCUCCGCCGCCACCACCAUCUCGCCUACCAAUCUACCGCCUCCUCUCGCGCUCCGCCUCGCAGUCCUGCGACGCCGCCAUCCGGAGGUUCCACGGGUCCUCCAUGUGCGCUCCGUGGCGCGCCCGCUCCAGCCCAUCUCCUUCCCGGACAUCCACCAUCAUCGACAUCUCCGCUCCGCGGGUGCCUGCGUCCUGUACUCCCGUGGUGGAUGCGAGGUGCCGCCUUGCUUAAGAUUGAACGCGUGUUUUGUUUCUAUUAGUUCAGUUCAGUUCUCGAUUCCUUGCUGCAGCUGCAGUUUCCUGACAACCCAGAGUCUGAAACAACAAAUUAUGCUGCCGAGUUUGCUCGGCUUAAUUGCUUGCUGACCUCACCUGUAGGCUAUAUGGCAUUGUUCGGCUGGCUGGCUGGCUGGAUGGCUGGCUGAUUUGGCGUGAGAGGAAAACACUGCUGGUUGGCUGGCUGGCUGGCUGGCUGAUUUGGCGUGAGAGGAAAAUACUGUUGUGGCUGGCUGAAUCUCCCAGCCGAACAAGUCCUGGUUACCUUACACGAUUCACAGUUUUCUCGGCGUUGUAUUCUAGUCUGAUUAUCGAUUGAAUCUGUUCCAAAUCUCACGUGGAGGGAGGAAUCAUGAUUCACGGUUUUCAUUCUUGAAGCUGUUCUGCAGAUAUGAAGAAAGGGUCUAUCUGCAUGAAGGAAGAAGAAGCUUUGCAGCUGCUGCUCCUUUUUUAAAUUUGAAAGUCCCUGUGAGAUACGGUGUUCCCUUGCUGAAAGAAGCUAAUGAGAUGUGGUUCAUCUCAUAUUGAUUAACAUCACUUGCUGAAAAAAAAUCCUAGUUUGGUUAUCCAAAUAUUUGUGGGAGGAGCUAAUAGUUCUUGUUUAUUCUUGAUGAUGUAAUCUGAUCCUAAUUUGAUUGAUGAUAGAACAACACAGUUGUUCUAAUUAUUAAUGCCCUUUUUUGGCUUCAUUCACUA